rnacentral:misc_RNA from 1 species
UCUCCGUAGGUGAACCUGCGGAAGGAUCAUUAUUGAAUGAACUUGGCUUGGUUGUUGCUGGCUUCUUUGGAGGCAUGUGCACACCUUGUCAUCUUUAUAUCUCCACCUGUGCACCUCUUGUAGACCUGGAUUCAACAUUUCCGAGGCAACUCGGUCGUGAGGAAUUGCUUAACCAGCUUUCCUUGGUAGUCUCCAGGCCUAUGUUUUUCAUAUACACCAUAAGAAUGUAACAGAAUGUAAUUAUUAGACUUGAUUGUCUUAUAAACUAUAUACAACUUUCAGCAACGGAUCUCUUGGCUCUC